rnacentral:miRNA from 1 species
GACGUCGAUAUUCGACGUCAUAAACACGAACAAGUUUGGUGUUUAUGACGUCGAUAUUCGACGUCAUAAACAUGAUCAACUUGGAUGUUUAUGACGUCGAUAUUCGACGUCAUAAACACGAACAAGUUUGGUGUUGAUGACGUCGAUAUUCGACGUCGUAAACACGAACAAGUUUGGUGUUUAUGACGUCGAUAUUCGACGUCAUAAACACGAUCAACUUUGGUGUUUAUGACGUCGAUAUUCGACGUC